AAAAUUUUAGAUUAAAUUAUACACUUGGUCCCCAUAUUUUUUUUCGUUUUGAGCACUUUAAUUUUUUUUCUUUUAUGAUCUUUAAACUUUCCUUUUUUUUUUCCAUUUCUCUUCUGCUUAUUUGUUUUCCUACCUUCUCCAUUUCUUUUAACAUAUCAGGAAGUCGAAUUGACAAUAAAGAAAGAAGUAGGAAGUCGAAAGCCAUCAAAACCCAUAAACUCAUACCAUCUGUUAAUUAUACCCCCCACCACC
rnacentral:lncRNA from 1 species